GGAUGACUGAAGCUAUCACCUUGCUAAUCCUUGCUGUCCAAACUGGCCUCAUUGAGCUGCAGGAGUUUGUGGAAGCACUUCCGUGCAGUUUCUCUCUGUCUCUUCCUGCUGAUCUUUCCAGCGUACAUGGCUUAUAUGAUCUGCCAGUUCUUCCACAUGGACUUCUGGCUUCUCAUCAUCAUCUCCUCCUCAAUCCUCACCUCUCUCCAGGUGCUUGGCACUCUGUUGAUCUGUUGUUCUCUUCAUGGUGGAGGAGUUUCGUACAGCUCCAGUGUAGAACAUGGAUGAAGUCAUAUAUUGUGUAAAUGGGAGCUACAGAUUGCUGGAGUUUCUGCUAUGUGUCACACACACACACACACACACACACCAACUCUUUGCUAAGUUCUGACUGUAAACAGACACUGUCAUGUAAUGCAUCAGCACUGUCUCUGCCUCACUGUCAGUGAUUUGUUACCUCACCAGGUUGCGGUGUGCGUGGUGUGCUAUGGUGUAUCAGAGACUGUAUUUGGCGAGUGGAGUGUGAUGGGAAGCACCAUCAUCUUGGUCCACUCGUACUAUAACGUCUGGCUCAGAGCCCAGCUGGGCUGGCAGAGCUUCCUGCUCAGGAGAGAUGCUGUAAACAAGAUAAAAAGCCUCCCUACAG